rnacentral:rRNA from 1 species
UUGCGCUACGGGGCGUAGCAGUAGGGAAUCUUCCACAAUGGGCGAAAGCCUGAUGGAGCAACGCCGCGUGGGUGAAGAAGGUCUUCGGAUCGUAAAACCCUGUUGUUAGAGAAGAAAGUGCGUGAGAGUAACUGUUCACGUUUCGACGGUAUCUAACUAGAAAGCCACGGCUAACUACGUGCCAGCAGCCGCGGUAAUACGUAGGUGGCAAGCGUUAUCCGGAUUUAUUGGGCGUAAAGGGAACGCAGGCGGUCUUUUAAGGCUGAUGUGAAAGCCUUCGGCUUAAACGGA